AAAGAGUACCCAGCCUGUUCUACACCUCUCUCAGGGACUGUCCUGCUCCAUUGGGCUCUAUCGCUCCUGCGCGGAGCUCGCUUCUUCCCUCUUCCUCUCCUUCCUUCCUUCCCGCCUCCUUUCCUCUUUCUGCAAGCACAAUCCCAGUGCCGGCACGAUGCCUGCAGAGGGAGAAGAGCUGUUCCGGUAGUAUUUGUAGAAUGCGGGGACACGUGCAUGCAGGAAGUGGGUGUUACGUUGUGUUAUGUUUGCUGGGCUCCGAGCUGAGCACCGGGAGCACAGAGGCAGAGAGACUCUGGCCUGCCCGCAAAGCCUGCCCAGCCUGCCGGGUCAGAGGAAGCCCCGGCUGUGGAGGAAGACGGACGCGUCAGCUCCCCAGCACCUCCUGGGACUGCUGUGAGAAGGUGAGGACGGCUGGCACGGUGCUUCACAAACAAGAGGGCUGCAGGCGGAGAGGAGGAGGGGAGGGUCAUCUUGAACCCCCCACGGUGCCGAGCCACACCACUCACCGCUGACCACACUGAACAGCCUGCGGGUGCCCAUAGAGCCGCCCCAGAUUCUCAGAAGAGGGGCCAAGGAAACACCUGGAGAGGCCCAGCGGGUCCUGCCGAAGAUCGCGAUGGGAGAGCGAUGAGGAUAAACGGCUGUCUGUCUCUGGAAUCUUGUGAGAGAAAGGCAGCUUCAACCCAUUUUGUAGAUACGGAGACUGAGGCUGAAGGCUUUUCAAAUGGCGUGGUUGGCCCGGGAGACAGGACCUGUAUUUGCUGAGCACGUGCUCUGUAUUAAGCUCUAACAGACAUGAGGUCCAUCCUCGAGAGGCUUCCGAUCUAGCCCAGGGGAGGGCUUGAAUAGAAGCCAUGCAGGUAAAGCAACAGCUACAAACUGAGAUCAGGGCCAUGAAGGAGAAGAACCAGGUGUUUGAAACGGAAGUAAGAAGAGGCUUACGUCGGUAAGGGGGACACCUCUCUGAGAAAGUGGCAUUUAUGCCGAGAUGGAGGCUGAGUCACAGGAAGAGCUCCAGGUGAAGGGACCAGUGCGUGCAAAGGCCCUGAGGUGGGAAGGUGGCAUGCUCCUGGAGCGGAGAAGUGGCCGGUGCGUCUGUGGGGAGAUGAGCAAGACCCAAACCUUUGCAAGGCGCCCCCAUGAUGAGCCAAGCCUUCUGGUGUAGAGCUGAGCUCUAAGUCAGAGUUCGGACUUCAGUCUAGAGACUUCGCCAUACCUCUCUGGGGCCUGGUCAGCCCCAGCUUUGGGCGGAGCCCCACCCUGCCACAAGGGAGCCCCUAGGCUCUGCCUGACCACCUCAUCUGUCACGAUCCCCCCUCCCCCCCACCGCAGUAUACAGACAGCCCCACCAGUGUGGCCUUGUGCCCCCUGCCUGGUGUGGACCUUCCACCUCUCCCAGACUACCCCCUUCCUUGAGCCGACAGGCAGCAUUCCUCCGAGUCAGGGAGCGGGGGCCGUGGGGGCGAGCCGAGGGAGGGCUGUGCAGGCUUUCAGGAGCAUUACAUCUGGAGAGGGAGACCGGAAUGUUUGUGUCUGAAAUUUAGCUAAUAUCCCAGGAAUUUCUCCUGGCGGUUCAGAGGGUUCCUAGGGGGACUGCAAAGCUGGGAUGUCUGGGUUCUGGAGGCGGGCUGGCCUCGCUCAAAGCCUCUUUGUCUCCGUGGCUCUGCCUGUGUCGAUCUGGCUAGGCAUCUGUGUGCCUUUGUGUGUGUGUGUGUGUGUGUGUGUGGGUACCUGAGUAUCUUUCUGGGUCUACAUCAUGGUGUGACUGGAGUCUCUGUGUCUCUCCGAUUCGUGGUACGUCAGUGGGUGAGUCCCUGCUGUCUGUGUGUCCUUGUCGCUUGUCUGUACAGCCAUCCAUCUCUGCCCUUUGCCUUUGCAGAGGUGUGGCUCUCGCUGGGACUCGGGCUUCGGCUCCUGUCCCUCCUUCUCCACCCUAGGGCUAGGGCUGGGUCGUGCCCUCCCUAUUAGUAGGAAACAGACUACAGACAAAGAAGAAAGAGUAAGGAGUAGGAGAGACAGAGUCGGGAGACGAGUUCAUGUGUGUGUUGCGGGGGUCGGGGGCGGGGGUGGUGUAUCUGUUCCUCUGCCCGGUCAGGGAAGGGCCCUUGCAGGCCAAACCCUGCCUUCAGCCCCACCACAGAGAAGCAGUUCCCUCACGCUGCCCAUGAGUCCUCUGGCUCAGUAGCCUGAGUCACACCCCACCCCCCUGCCCUCUCCCUUCCUCCCAUUUGGUCACAAAGCAUUGUUUCAUCCUCCAGCCGAGUCCCCUCUCCCCUGCUCCCCACCAUGCCCUCGCCUCUUCCCGCUCGGUGCUCUGCCCUGGUCCCCCACCCUCCAGUCUGAUGUGGCCACAUCACGCUUUGGGGAGCAUGUCGUGCCUUCCCUACUCAAAGGACUCCUCCUUAGGAACCUCUUGGAGCCACUCACUCACCCCUUCUGCCCGGAAGCCUCCCUGGACUCCCCAGGCAGGGAGAAGGCUCCUUGCUCUGAUCCCCUUGUAUUUUUUCCUACGAGCUUCUGUGACCCUCGCCCCUCAGGCUGGGGUUGUCCACCUCCUGGAAUCCUGUCUCCCUGUAGACGGCAAGAGACAGGGCAUGGUUUGGCUAUAUUUCCCACCACUGCCUGGAACACAGGGAUCUCCACAAUACCUGCCCUGGAUGAGCAGAGGGCCCCCAAGCCCCUUAAGGUCAGUAAGGAAGCUGGGGGACUUGAUUUCCCAUGAUUCCCUGCCAGCUUCUCUCUCUGCCGUCUGCUCUGACGCAUCGCAUACCCCACACAGGCACAGCACGCGAAGACCCCGACACCGGCCCAGGUGCCCCAGACCCCGCCGAUGCUCAGCAGCCUUUGAAGCCAAGCACAGGCCACCCCCCGCAGUGUCGCCCAUGGCUGCCUCCUGGCCUCUCAGCCCCAGAGCGCCAUCAUACAGCCCCUCAGGGGCCUCCGACCUCUGGAGGCCUCGUCACCCGUCCUGGAAACAUCUCAAACACACGGACAGUCCAUUCUAAACGUUUCAUUCUUUAUGUGGUGUAUUCGUUUUCUAGGGCUGUUGUAACACAUGCCACAAGUUGGGUGGCUUAGAACAGUCCUGAAGGCCAGAGGUCUGACAUCAGGGUGUUGGUGGCACCUUGCUCCCUCUCGAGGCCCCAGGGAGGAUCCCUCCUGGCCUCUUCCGGCCUCUGGCGGUUGCUGGCAAUGCUUGGCGUUCCCUGGCCCGUAGACACAUCCCUCCAGUCCUCCCUUCUGCCUUCACACGGCUUUCCCCUGUGUGUAUCUGUGUCUCAGAUCUCCGUCUCCUUGUGAGGCCCACCCGCAAUCCAGAACGCUCUCUCGUCCCGAUCCUUAAUUACAUCAGCAAAGGCCUGAUUGCCAAAUGAAGAAACGGUUCACCUUCCCGGGUACUGGGUGUGUCAGGACUUGGGCAUAUCGGGUGAAGGAACGUAAUCCGGCUCACUUCAUGGCAGCUGUGGUUCUAGAAACUCAACAAUAGCCCGUCGACCUGAGCGGUUGAUGAUGACAAAUAACAGAGCCCCCAGGAUUGUCUGGGUUAGAGGUCCCCUAGCACACCUGGCAGCGGGCCCCCCACAUGGUCUCUGGGUAAGCUGAAACACCUGCGGACACAGAAAGCCCAUCACGCCCCGUGCACGCUGGCUUACGAGGGGGCCCGGGGUGGGCGGCCAGGCUGUCAGGAAAUACGGAGGAAGAAGGAAAGGUGCCUCCUGCCUUCCUGAGGGCUCAAGGCUUCGUCGCUUUCCGACACUGAAGGGUAGACCCUGGUGAAACGAAGAUGUCCAGCCAGCUCAGGAGGCAGAAACCGAGCAAGAAAAGGAGCAAGCCUUCCGAAGCCAGGCUCUCCCCGGGACGUGAGUGGGGUGGCGGCAAAGUCCUAUUUCCUGGUCCUUGCGCUACGUCUGCUCUUGCAGAGUGGGCCUGGGGAGGCCUCCCGGCUCUCUGGGCGUCGGCCGUGUGCUGGAAUUGCAAAGGCUGGCCCUUCCUGUCUCAAGGCCACGGCGAGGCUCUCCACCGCGUGGAUCUGGGCAAUCCGUGCCUACGAAGGCCGAGGCUGUUUUCGUGGUUAAGGAAGUAGCUAGAAUGAGAACAGCAGCAGGCAGCUUGCUUUAUGUGAAUCCCGCACCCUCCAGGAGAUCUACAAGGCAGCAAGCGGGCAGGCAAGUGGCAUCGUUGAGCACCGACUGUAUGCCAGGCAUUCUUCUAGGCCAGGGGCUACAAUGUCUCAUCUAACUGUGCCAAGGGCCCUGCACGGCACAGGCGUUAGGGAACCCGUGUUUUUUUUCAGAGGAGGAAAGUGAAGCAAAAUAUCAACCGAGAUCACAUCGCCAGAAGGUGUUUAGAGAUCUACAAAGAAGUCACCGGCAAGUGGUUUGAGGUGAGGGCCGGGGCGAUGGAGAGGCAGGUUCAUUAUGAAACAUGGAUACAAGUCUUCGAGUCAAAAGGAAUAAAUAAGCAGAUGAUUUCCCUGGA